UAACGCGUAGGUAUCUAUCCUGAGGUGGGGGACAACUGUGGGAAACUACAGCUAAUACCGCAUGAUGACCGAGGUCCAAAGGCGCAAGUCGCCUUGGGAGGAGCCUGCGUCCGAUUAGCUUGUUGGUGGGGUAAUGGCCUACCAAGGCUCCGAUCGGUAGCUGGUCUGAGAGGAUGAUCAGCCACACUGGGACUGAGACACGGCCCAGACUCCUACGGGAGGCAGCAGUGGGGAAUAUUGGACAAUGGGCGAAAGCCUGAUCCAGCAAUGCCGCGUGGGUGAAGAAGGUCUUCGGAUUGUAAAGCCCUUUCGACGGGGACGAUGAUGACGGUACCCGUAGAAGAAGCCCCGGCUAACUUCGUGCCAGCAGCCGCGGUAAUACG
rnacentral:rRNA from 1 species